GACAGAGGUCCUGAGCGUUAGGCGGAAUCACUGGGCUUAAAGCGUGUGUAGGCGGAUUUGUAAGUACCUUGUGAAAUCCCACAGCUUAACUGUGGAACUGCUUGGUAUACUGCUUAUCUUGGGCCACUUAGGGGUUACCGGAACAAACGGUGGAGCGGUGAAAUGCGUAGAUAUCGUUUGGAACGCCAAUGGUGAAAACAGGUAACUGGGAGUGUGCCGACGCUGAGACACGAAAGCCAGGGGAGCGAACGGG
rnacentral:rRNA from 1 species